GGGUCAGUAGGUUGGUCGUGCCACCGGUACGUACUGGUCUCACUGAUUCCUCCUUCCUGAAGAACCGUAAUGCCAUUAAUCUGGUGUUGCGGGGAAACAGGACUGUUACUUUGAAAAAAUUAGAGUGUUUAAAGCAAGCUAACGCUUGAACACAUUAGCAUGGAAUAAUGAAAUAGGACGAUCGAUCCCAUUUUGUUGGUUUCUAGGAUUGACGUA
rnacentral:rRNA from 1 species